GAGUUUGAUCAUGGCUCAGGACGAACGCUGGCGGCGUGCCUAAUACAUGCAAGUAGAACGCUGAAGAGAGGAGCUUGCUCUUCUUGGAUGAGUUGCGAACGGGUGAGUAACGCGUAGGUAACCUGCCUUGUAGCGGGGGAUAACUAUUGGAAACGAUAGCUAAUACCGCAUAACAAUAGGUGACACAUGUCAUUUAUUUGAAAGGGGCAAUUGCUCCACUACAAGAUGGACCUGCGUUGUAUUAGCUAGUAGGUGAGGUAACGGCUCACCUAGGCGACGAUACAUAGCCGACCUGAGAGGGUGAUCGGCCACACUGGGACUGAGACACGGCCCAGACUCCUACGGGAGGCAGCAGUAGGGAAUCUUCGGCAAUGGGGGCAACCCUGACCGAGCAACGCCGCGUGAGUGAAAAAGGUUUUCGGAUCGUAAAGCUCUGUUGUAAGUCAAGAACGAGUGUGAGAGUGGAAAGUUCACACUGUGACGGUAGCUUACCAGAAAGGGACGGCUAACUACGUGCCAGCAGCCGCGGUAAUACGUAGGUCCCGAGCGUUGUCCGGAUUUAUUGGGCGUAAAGCGAGCGCAGGCGGUUUGAUAAGUCUGAAGUUAAAGGCUGUGGCUCAACCAUAGUUCGCUUUGGAAACUGUCAAACUUGAGUGCAGAAGGGGAGAGUGGAAUUCCAUGUGUAGCGGUGAAAUGCGUAGAUAUAUGGAGGAACACCGGUGGCGAAAGCGGCUCUCUGGUCUGUAACUGACGCUGAGGCUCGAAAGCGUGGGGAGCGAACAGGAUUAGAUACCCUGGUAGUCCACGCCGUAAACGAUGAGUGCUAGGUGUUGGAUCCUUUCCGGGAUUCAGUGCCGCAGCUAACGCAUUAAGCACUCCGCCUGGGGAGUACGACCGCAAGGUUGAAACUCAAAGGAAUUGACGGGGGCCCGCACAAGCGGUGGAGCAUGUGGUUUAAUUCGAAGCAACGCGAAGAACCUUACCAGGUCUUGACAUCCCGAUGCUAUUUCUAGAGAUAGAAAGUUACUUCGGUACAUCGGUGACAGGUGGUGCAUGGUUGUCGUCAGCUCGUGUCGUGAGAUGUUGGGUUAAGUCCCGCAACGAGCGCAACCCCUAUUGUUAGUUGCCAUCAUUCAGUUGGGCACUCUAGCGAGACUGCCGGUAAUAAACCGGAGGAAGGUGGGGAUGACGUCAAAUCAUCAUGCCCCUUAUGACCUGGGCUACACACGUGCUACAAUGGUUGGUACAACGAGUUGCGAGUCGGUGACGGCAAGCUAAUCUCUUAAAGCCAAUCUCAGUUCGGAUUGUAGGCUGCAACUCGCCUACAUGAAGUCGGAAUCGCUAGUAAUCGCGGAUCAGCACGCCGCGGUGAAUACGUUCCCGGGCCUUGCACACACCGCCCGUCA
rnacentral:rRNA from 1 species